rnacentral:lncRNA from 1 species
AUGAUGCACGACUGGGAGUUUUCAUUUUCUUGCUUGUGACAGUCCUACAGACAGUAGUUGGUAAGUUGAAAUUUUAAAGAUGUUAUGUAAAUAUUAUCUGUAUGUAGAUAUCCGAAAGGUUUGUUAGUUUUACUUCCUUUUUAAAAUUAAAUACUUUUGAAAAUUUGUGCCUUUGCACUCAAUGAUCAUAUAAUUAUAAAAUCAAAAUUAUUCUUAAAAUAAAGGUCAAAUUAGAAUAGAGGAUGUAUAAAAUUUAAACAUCGGUUAUGUACUAUUGCAUAGAUCGAUAUUUGCUGAGUUCUAAUUAUUAUUUGUUUUUAUUCUUUACUUUGAUUGUUUUAUAGUUUUAUUUUUGUUGGAAAAAGGGGUAAGUGUUGGGGUCGUUGUUCCAAGUAAAAAAAUAUUGGUUUACAGACUAGCAGAAUAUGUUUCAUACAUAUCAAGUUUAAAAAAAAUAAUACAUAAUUUACGCAGGGUUUUUAGAGAAAUAUGAUAAACAUUAAAGUCCAGCUCUCAGCUUACAGAGGAUAUAAUGUUAUGUGCAAAACAAAGUGUAUCAUGUUGCUAUUACAAACAAAACUGUAACUUUCUAUUCAUAUUUUUCUUUUCCUACUGACUGUAUAUUUUUGUCAAAAUAUAUUAAAAUUGUUCACAAUUAUCAUUUUAUUUUCGGAAAUCAAUUUUCUUUUAUCUUUUACACAUCAACACACACUACUUAAAACUUUCUAAGGGCUUACAUGGAAUAAUAUAUGUGUUGUUUAUCAAUGUGUCGGAUUUUUUUCAAAACAAAAUGGCAUAUAGACAAAGCAAACAAUCAUAUAUGAUUCCAUACAUGCGCAUUGCUUUCGUUUUUAUAUUUAUUAAAUGCUUUUUGCGAGUUUAAGGUUCAUUAUAACAAAUGGACAAAAAUUGCUGUGUUUAGAGUACAAAAAACUACUCCGAGUACGGACUACAUUCAUCUUUCUUUGAUGGUACAUGCAUACUCUAUUUAUAAAAAAUAUACCGAACAUUUUAUCCCAUUUACCAUGUUUACGGAUUAGUAUUAAAAGUAGUGCAUUUCACUGAAGAAAACAAAUAACAAUAACUUCUACUUUUUUCCGCCCUACAGACUUGACGAAGUCUAAUGGCAAUUGGUCACGAAGUCUUGUGGCAAGUGGUCACUUUGUCUAAUGGCAAAUGGUCAGUGGAUCUAAUGGCAAAUGGUCACAAAUUCUAAUUGCAAAUGACCAGUGAAUCUAAGUAGACAUGGUAACCAUUUGCCAUUAGAUUCACCUUAGAUUCACUGCAUUAGACAUAGUGACCAUUUGCCAUUAGAUUCACUGGCAAUUCGCCAUUAGACAUGGUGACCAUUUGCCAUCAGAUUCACGGGCCAUUUGCCAUUGGACAUUUAGUGACCAUUUGCCAUUAGACAUGUAGUGACCAUUCGCCAUUAGAUUCACUGGCCAAAAAAGCAAAAGUGUCGGACAAAAAGCAAAAUAAUCGGACAAAAAGCAAAGCGGAGAAAAAGCAACGGACAAAAAGCAAAAGUGUCGGACAAAAAGCAAAUUAAUCGGACUAAAAGCAAAACGGACAAAAAGCAACGGACAAAAAGCAAAAGUUUCGGACAAAAAGCAAAAGUUUCGGACAAAAAGCAAAAACGGACGAAAAGCGAAUUGCGGACAAAAAGCAUCGUAUCACGCGUCUGGCGUUACCUUAGAUAACUAUUUACACAAAAAUGUAUACACCACUCUCAAAAUUUGCACAUUUCAUCAAAGAUCUAGACCAAAAUUAUCUGCUUCUUCGAAAUCCAAGAUGGCGGAAGACACCCGAGCCACCUUAAACGAGUCUAUUACUUAAAAAAAGUAACUGUAUGUUGGCGUUAAGCUAAAUUUUCUUGGUGUCGAAUCAACAUUUAGUUUUUUAAUUAUUCUUGUAUUGUAAAAAUAAUUGCGAAUAACAUAAUCACAGAUAACAUGAUUAAAACUUUGUAGUUGCACCAGAUGCGCGUUUUGUCUGCAAAAGACUCAUAUGUGAUGCUCGAAUAAAAAAGUUAAAAAAAAGCCCGCAAAAAAUACGACGAUACCAUUCUAUUUGCACAAAUACGUCUUUAUGAAGAUUCUACAAUGUCAGUAUAUUGUGUGGACCCCUAAAAUGUUAACAGCCAUUCAGUAAAAUAAUUUGUAACGUUGUGUUCAUUUUCAAUAUGAUAAAUAUCAACAAAAACAUUUUAAGCAAGAUUAUUUCAUAAGGGAUAAGCUUUGAAAUCUAGCUCUAACAUAAAACUUGACUUCUUAAUUUGUUCUGUUUUUUUCAUGGUUGAUGAUCCAUGGAUGAAUACACAGUAUUUAGUAUUCAUAAUUGUAUAAUCAAUUAUACUAGGCAUUUCCAUAUUUGUUUUGGUUAGUGCAAAUCAGUAAGAUCACAGGCCAUCUUUGACACACUUUAAGUUAUAUUGUCAUUUAUUGUCUUCACUCAAAAUAAAGUAUAGAAAACUCACGGUUAAUUAUCAGCGGAUUACACUUGGGAAUUAAAUUGAAAAAAUACAAUAUCGUUUCAAGUUAUAAAUAACUUGAAAUUAUUGUUUUUACCGAUAUUUUUUCUAAGUUUUUAUUCUUCCUUAGGUAGAGCAUAUUUCCCUUGAGAAAAAUAAUAAUGAUUCAUCAUGCAUACAUAUUGGAAGAUAAUCUAUAUCAAAAUAGAAACUAAUGAAACUUUGUAAAGUAAAGGAAGUUUCAUGGAAAACAAUUGUUAGGUACAAAAUUGACACCCACUAUCCCUCCCACUUUUCUAUAAAACGUAAUUUGCAGGAAUUUAUAUUAUUCGUUAAAUUAAAUUUAUUCUUAUUUACACAAUGAUUGAUAUGUACAGCACAUUUACUAAUCUAAAUCAACUUCAAGCAAUGUGUAUAUGCUAGUUUGCAGUAUUUGAGAUUGUCCGUAAAAAGUAAUCUAUAAAAAAGACUAUUUAAAAAAUUCCAGACAUACAAAAUAACCUUUAAAACGUACAUGCACGGGCACAAUCAGUGUUGCCAUUUUGUGUAUCGAAAAUACACUUUGUUCCAGCUGCGCAUUUGCCAGCCAAGGACUGUAAAAGACAAUAUUAAAGUCAAAGUAAAGGAAAUAAUAUACAUGUUACUUAUAUCUCUUAAACAUUAAUAUUGUAUUUUCAUAACAAGUUUUUUUUUUUUUUUUCAAUUAUUUUUGUAACUUUUUGUGGCUUAAUUCAAUCCUUUGACGUUUCACUCACAGAGAUAAAAAAAAAAAGUAGUUUAUAGUAUGCUGUUCACCUGAACAAUUAAGAUAAAGUGAAAGAUUAGUUUAUUUUAUAGAUAGGCAUCAAAAUGAUUAAAUGAAUCUAUCUAUCAGACUUGAAGUUGUGAGCCAUUUAUGGGCAUUCUUAAUGUGUAAUUUACAUGUUAUCAAUAUCAGAUUAUGCAUCUCAGCAUUCGAGCAUCAGAGAAAUCGACCUUUUAGAAAAAACACCCGAGUGCAAUAACUUCAGGGUAACUGGGACACAUUUCACGGAACAAAUCUUAAAUAAUCCUAUGUUCAGCUAACCUCAUUGGUUGAUAUCUUUGGCGGAAGUACAUGUGAUACAUCCUCAUUCUUUCAAUAUCCAAGCUGUGGGAAGGUCGUGCUCCACGUGUUGUCGGCAAAGUAACUAUAUUCUUUAACUUUUACUUACAUUUGCCUUGGUGGCUUUAAGACCUUGGUGGUCAUUUAUAUAUGCCUUGGUGGCAAAAGACCUAGGUGGUCAUUUAUAUAUGCCUUGGUGGCAAUAGACCUAGGUGGUCAUUUUUAUAUGCCUUGGUGGCAAUAGACCUAGGUGGUCAUUUUUAUGAUUUUUUACAUUUGCCUUGAUGGGAACAAUGAAUUAAAAAUACUAGCCUUGGGGGCGUCAAGACCUUGGUGGUCAUUUAUAUUUGCCUUGGCGGCUUCUUGAUAGAACUAGAUGGUAAUGUUUGACCUUGGUGGCAAAAAUGUUUUGGGAUUUAGACCUUAAUAGGUAGUUAUUAUCAACCCAGGUGGUCAGAUAUUUGUUAUGCCGUGCGCCGGUUAAACGCAGGGCAAAGUGCUAUCGCUAUAUAAAAUAUAUGUGGAAGUGGGGGCUCUGGCCAUUUUGGAAAUUGUAGUUGAAAGGAGAAUAAUAAAUUGUUUAUAGGGUAAAUAGUUUCUUUUGUUACUUUUGACUGUGUUGUGGACUUUUCAUUUAUUUUUACAUCGUACAUACUGAUAGAAAUGCUAUUUAAAGACUUUGUUAGAAAAGAAUAGAAUUAUUGAGAAAGUGGAAUAAUUUAGUGUGACAUGUCACUUGAUAUUCAUGUUUUUUAUCGGAGUGAUGUGUAUUGAAUUAUAAGGUGUCUUCGUCGAGGUCCGCGUUCAGCGGUCUGUUUGAUUGUACAUAGAAUUGAAUAGAAUGUUUUUUGUUUUCAGAUGGUGUUACCUACAGCUUUGACAGGGUGACGAAUGAAGGAGAAGUAAUAUGACAUUGCACGAUGAUUCAUGUCAAUGAGUUCGAACAACCUUUUUAAAAGGAAAGGAUUUUUUCUAAUCAGAAUAUGGUGAGAACAAAUUACAAUUGAAGUAAUGUUUUGAUUUCUGAAAAUAGGAAAAUAAUGAAUGGGGAAAAUAUUGAUACUACACUAAAUUAUGUAUGUCUGUGUUGAGAAAGGCAGAAGAUGCCAAUAUGGCACGGUACUAAAAAAAAAAAAAAAAAAAAAAAAUCUGUGAUGGAAGCAGCUUUAUGUUCAAAUGAACCUAUUUAAAAGUAAUGCUAAUAAUUUUUUCCGUAAUUUCAUGAUGUUUUCUAUUGGAUGUGUAUAUUUAAUUUCAUUGAUGUGUUGAAAUAUGUCACAAAAAUCUUUUUGUCAUGGGAGAUUAAAUAAUGGUUGCAAUAUUUUUGUUUUGUUUUGUUUUAUCUAAAUUAAUAAAUAAAUAUAAUGUUGAAUGAUUUUGUAUACUAGUACAAAUGUAUACUUAAAUUUUAUGUAUGGUUAAAUUUUUUUAAUUUAAAUUUCUUUGUCUACAGUUCGAGGGACACUGAUUCCCUAGUGGUUUUCCACGUGGAUUGUAGGCAAAGGGAUUUUUCCUUUUCAAAGUGUGACUAAUGCUGUCUUUAGUACAAAUAAACAAUUUGUUAUUGGUUAAUAUAUUUUCAGCAGACAUGUGAAGAAUCGAGUGGAAAUACAAUUGUCAAUGUUCCUGAUUAUGAAGUAAAGAGUGUGUUUGAUUCAACAACAGUAAAGAAAGAGACAAGCCAGCAUAGUUUUACACUUGGAGGUUAAGUCCCUUUGCUUACAAGCUUUCCACAUGCUGAAGAUGUUAUUAGAAUAAUGACAAUGUUCAUUUUGAUAUGAGUUCAUUGCCUUAACUCAACUUUUAAAAGUCCGUAUGUGGUCAAAUUCAUGAGAAUUUAUUGAAUUAUGAACGAUUUAUAAAGAACUGUUUACAUGCAUCUUUAAAUGUUUAGAAGUGUUUUAAAGUAAUUUUAAAAGGAAUAAUAUUUAAUAAAAGUGUUGAAUUUGUUUUGAGUAUUGGGAAUACUAUUCCUUAAGGGAAAGCCUUGCUAGUGGUGUAUUUUGAGAUUGGCCUGCAAAUAUGCUGUAUGGACUAUAGAGUUUUCUAUGCCCAUAACUUAACAUGAACUGGAUGCAAGAUUAUAUCAAUCACUGAGGAUAUGUGUAUAACCUCAUUGGUUGAUAUCUUUGGCGGAAGUACAUGUGAUACAUCCUCAUUCUUUCAAUAUCCAAGUGGUGGUUGGUUUAAGGGCUAUGUUUGGUCAGGCAAUACAUAUUGCCUGUUUGGGUUGAUGAGGUUCUUGAUAAGUUCCCCCCUCUCCCACCCAUAAGUACCAAAAUGUGGAUAUGUUUUUAUAUUUAUAUUUCAAUAUUGGUAUUACAUGUAUGCAUUUUGGGUUGAUGAGCACGAGACAACAUUAGAAAAACAUGAGCAUUACCAUGGGAUCAUGUUGACAAAACAAACCUUCGCUUUAUCGAUUUUCAAGGGAAAGGUCAAUUAGGGCAAGUGUAUUGGCAUGUUUGUGUUUGCUUUUUCAUUACAAUGGUAAAAAUAAGAUUAUAUAUCUCUGAUGACAAAAAUUUUGAUUAUAAUGCUUCAUUUUAUGAGCUCCAGAGUAGUUUUAUAACUGAAAAACAACUGUGCACUAUAUCUAGUGAGCUCUUCUGCAUUGCAUUGUGCAUUGUAGUCCACAUUUUGGUUUCUGAAACGUUAAGAUAUUAUCUUGUAUUCGGUUCUUUCCUCUAGAGUUUUCUAUGCCUAUAACUUAACAUGAACUGGAUGCAAGAUUAUAUCAAUCACUGAGGAUAUGUGUAUUACCUUAUGCCAAUUUGAUAUGUCGCUGUUGAAACAUGUUGUGUCGUUAUCUGUGUCGUUGUCACCGGAAGUAGAGCUUACAAUGUCACAUAAAUUUUUGCUUGAUCUGUAAUUAAUAGAUGUGCAUUCUGCCGUUAAUAGACAUUCCUGUCCAAAUUCAAGAAGUGUCUUUUCCUGGAAUCUCAAAAGAACCCCUGUUUUAGAGCAUUUACCCCACUUUUGCAGUCCUACGCCGGAAAUGCUUGGUGUUUUACAUGUAUUAUCAUUCGUCGAGCAUACGUUAUUCAUACUCAAGCCUGUAAUAUUUCCAAAAAUCAUAAACACAGUCAUUGUAACAAAACCGUUUCUCCCCUCCAUUUUGAGCUUACAAACCGCACCAAUAUUGCUUCUCAAUGUUUGGAGUACAAAUAAUAAUUAAAUUUAAUAGGUCUGGUAGUAAAGCAAAUACAUCAAACUGUUGUUUUACGUUUGCCAUGCAUUCUGGUGUUAAAUUUUUUUUCUAAUAGUAUUAAAUCCCUGAAGAUUUAACAAAUAAUUAAAUCAUGAAUAAGUUACAAAUUUCACAACCGUAGAAGCACAUAAAAGAUAUCAAAAUGAAAGAGAAAAAAGUAUUCAAUUUACUAUUGAUUAUUAUACUUUAAUUGCCCCGAGAAUCGUUAAUUUUUUUUAAAACAUGGUCAUAGGAUUGUUCAAAUUCGUUUUAAUUAUUUGUAAAUACCUAUAACCACUGUUUGUUACUUUAGCGGUCGCUUAUAUCUAUAUAUGACAGUAAACAUUUUUGUUUAUAGGACAAACGUCAUUCAUAUCCAAUCAUUUAUCAAUAUUUCUAAACAAAAACAUAUAUUGUAACAAAAGUGUAAGUCGUGCAUAAACGACGUAUCAAAAUAAAUCCCCCGAAUAUUUUGCGCUAAUAAGUUACACUGUCACAACCAUAUAAGUAGAUAAAAGAUAAACAAUUGAAAACAAAAUGCACUAUUAAUAAGAUAAAAGAUAUUAUAUUGAUUUCAUUUUAAUUACAUCAGGUAUCCUCUCCUUUGCAAUCAUAAAUCGAUUAAGAAAAAAAAAAAACACAAAUCCGGGUUACUAACUUUAACCGAGGGAAACACAUCAACUAUAAAAUGGAAAACAACGAAGCAACAGAAACACCAAAGUACAACAAAAAAAUAUAAGAAAAAACAACACUGUAACACUCACAGAAACGAACAAUUAGAUAACAACUGCAAUUUCCCUGACUUGGUCCAGGACAUUUUAAGAACAAGAAGUGGGUUGAACCUGUUUUUUUUGGCUAGCCAAACCAUGCGCUAGUAUAUAUAUGGUGAUGUAAAAAGAAUCGAUGCUUUGGUAUAUUUAAAAAGAGAGCUCUCCUAUACUCACAAUCAUGAUUGUGUUGUUUGUUCAAAAAGUAAAAUCCUUAAAAUACUGAACUCCGAGGACGUAGAGCUUACAAUAGUCACAUAUAUUUGUGCUUGAUCUGUAAUUAAUAGAUGUGCAUUCUACCGUCAAAAAAACGUUCCUGUCUACAUUCAAGAACUGUCUUUUCCUGUAAGCUAAAAAGAACCCCUGUUUUAGAGCAUUUACCCCACCUUUGCAUUCUGGUGCAAAAAUGCUUGGCGUUUUAAAUGUAUUAUCAUUUGUCGAACAAACGUUAUAUAUAUUCAAGUCUUUAAUAUUUCCGAAUAGCAUAAAUACAAACAUUGUAACAAAGGCGUUUCUAACCUCCAUUGGGGACUUAAACAACGCAACCAACAACGUAACAAGGUAGACUAUCACAAUCAUAUGAGUAUAUAAAAGAUAAACAAAUUGAAAACAAAAUUCAUUAUUAACAAGAUAAACAGAUAUUAUAUCAAUCACAUUUUAAGUCCCGCAGGUAUCCUCUUCUUUCAAAUAUGAUUGUUCAAUUUCAGUUCAAUUAUUUUCAAAUCUCUACAGUCGAUCCUUUGUCGUCAUGGUUUUUACAUAAUUCUGUUUGACAUAGUGUCCCAAUUCAAGGCUUGUUUGAAGUUUAAAUAGAUAAAGGCAUCAGUAGUAGCCUGCUGUUCUUAAGGCAUAAAGCGAUUGAGAAACUAAUGCUUCAAUUUUUCGAUUAUUUUUUUUAGAAAAAUAAUAUCCACGAAUGUAAGAACUCACGUUCAUGUUACUAUUGCUAAAAAAACGAAAAUGGAUACCCACGAAUUAAAGUACUUUCACAAUGGCUUAACCUCCUAUUUGUAUGACAGUAGCAUAAAAUUCCAUUAUAAUGACAACUAUUGUGAACAAAACAAACAAACAGAACAGGUAAAAAUGUCAAAAAUAGGAGUACAGCAGUCAACAUUGUUUUAUAUUCUUCAUCACUAUAAAAGAAACAGUUACCAUGUAACAACAAUAUAAUAUGGUCAUAAUUAAUUAUAAAGUAAUUAUUUACAAAAACUCUGAAUAUUUUCGAAAUGUGAAGGAUUUGUAUCACAGGAAUACCAGUAGAUUAAUUUAGCUUUAUUUUGCAUACACUUUUGGAGCGUCACUAGUGAAUCGUUUAGACGAAACGUGCAUCUGAAGAACACAAUUCUAAUCCUUUUAUCUAUGAUGAGUUUAUUCGUAAAAACUUAACAUAUGAAGUUCAGUGAAAAUGUAUGUGAUAUCAAUCUACCAAUUCUUGGGUGACUUUUAUAAUCCAGGUUAUUUCUUUUGUCGAUCAUCGUCAAACAUAGUCAGCCUAUUCCAUAAGCAAAUUAUAUAUACCGUUGCAUAAACUUUUGUAUUCAACCUCUGUCCCCACACAAUGCUAGAGUGGGGGUGAAUCGGUGUAUGCCUAUGUAAUACUGACUUGAUCUAUUACCGAGUGUCUGAUGCUUUCAUUUUCAUACAUCCCAGAUGCAUAGGAGUAACAAAUAAAUCUAAUAAAAAGUUGUUCACAAGAUUUAAAGGAAAGUUCCUUGAAACUGUAGAUUUCGGGAUAAUUUUACCCACAGCUCUUCCUGUACCGUGAAACUUUCUGCAUACAAACUGCAGUCAUCUCCACGACAAUGUUAUACAUUAUCACGAUAACCCGUUCUUAUUCAGGUUGCAUGAAGAUUGGUUAAUGAAAUUGAUUUGGAAAAGAACAUGAUUUGAUUGUUGAGAUUUUUAAGGUGCCAUUUCAGAUGAUCAACUUUUAAGAUUUAUUUCAGAGAAGCUGAACAAAUACAGAUGUACUGAUGUACUGAUGUUGGAUAUUCAAGACACUUAAGCUAUCUAUCAUAAAGAGAUAUAACCUGCUCUCAGUAAAAAGAAUGUGUUUAUGUUUAAAAUCAUUGACAUUGGAAAAGUCACUCAUUAAAAUAAGUUGAUAAUAUUGAAUACAUUUGUUAAAAAAAC